GCAUAACGCGAAGAACCUUACCAGGUCUUGACAUCGAGGCAAAGCCGUAGAGAUACGGUGUUCAGCAAUGAAGCCGAAGACAGGUGGUGCAUGGUUGUCGUCAGCUCGUGUCGUGAGAUGUUGGGUUAAGUCCCGCAACGAGCGCAACCCUUAUGGUCAGUUACUAACGGGUAAAGCCGAGGACUCUGACGAGACUCGGCCGGGGACAACUCGGAGGAAGGUGGGGACGACGUCAAAUCAUCAUGCCCCUUAUGACCUGGGCUACACACGUGCUACAAUGGUGGUAACAAAGAGGCGCGAGCCCGUAAGGGGGAGCGGAUCUCAAAAAAGCCAUCUCAGUUCGGAUUGUGGGCUGCAACCCGCCCACAUGAAGUUGGAGUUGCUAGUAAUCGCGGAUCAGCAUGCCGCGGUGAAUACGUUCCCGGGUCUUGUACACACCG
rnacentral:rRNA from 1 species